AAUACAUAUGAAAAGUAUAAUUUGCUCAGAGUCCGGAGACAGUGGUAGUUCGGUCCGGAUCCGGACCGGAGUCCGUAGUUUGAGGAUGCCUGCACUAGACUAUUCAUUUUACAAGGAAACUGACGCAACUGGCAGAUAUAUGGCUUCUUCAAUCUGUUAAUGCAGACUACCUUUGCCCUGCGGCGCAAUGAGAUCAUCAAUGAUGAGCUACCUGUUGGAGAGAUCCUGGAACGCUGGCCUGCCUUGAAAAUGGAGUCACAGAGUUUCACAGGAUAACAAACCUCAACCUGAAUAACCACUUCUAUGCGGAGUUGGAUAGACAUGUCCUCCAUCUUCAGAGCCUGUUCAGGAAGAAGGCGGCAAGCAAGGAAAGGAAACUGAACUUCUGGAUCAGCUAUUCGCCUCCUAUGACCUCCAGGAGCAAGGUGACGUCCAUGUCCUCCGUGCUCUGCCUGAAUAUCUGCAAGAAGAUGACUCCACGUUUCCGAGGCUGUGGCAUGUGGAGCAGUCUGAUGAUCCAGACACAGAGGGCAUCGCGGUCGGACUUCUCAUGAUCAGUGCCAGGUCAACAGACACCACGCUCUUCUGCCCAGAGAGGAUCGCUGUUGUCAUUGAGGGUAACGGAGUUAUGGAACUCCCCACACUGGCUGACGCAUUCAUCCUGCUUUUUGCACUGACCUUUGCCCUGCAUCUGAGCUACCCAAAAGACUUGGCCAACACUUUCGACUUCACCCAGAAAGUGUUGAUGAGGGGAAAUUGAAGCCCUUGAAGCCCAGGGUGUUGAGCCUGAAAAAGCUUUUGGCAGUUUAAUCCAACCAACAAAGUUGUACUUUAACAAUCACACACACACACACACACUGUUCUCCUCUGUUUACAUCCUGCUGCUUUACAUCUGUGUUCUGUUGUGUUCAUUGACAGAUUUGUUACUGUUCAGCCUCAAGUUGAAGGACUGUUCGUAGAUGUUGUUUUAUACUUUUAUAUGUAUUGGGUCUUUAUGGUCCAUGUGUUAAAUGUAAUACGCAGAACUGUUCCUGAAAAUUGUGUUCACUCAUAAGUGAUGGUUAAAAUACACACAGAUAUUUCUCAAGGCCCUAGCACUGUUUUUAAGGUGUUUUUAUUUAUUUAAGAGUUAAAUAUAUUGAAUUUGUAUUGUGCUAAAAUGCAUUGUUCUUUUAUAGUGGAAAUGGAAUGUUGGCGAUUUGCCAAAGCUGUUCAAAUUAUCAAUAAAUGCAUUUUUAUAUAUAUAUA